GGAGCAGCUCCGGGACCGCCGGGAGCAGCUCCGGGACCGCCGGGGGCAGCUCCGGGCUGAACCCCCGGCACGGCGGGGCCCCGCGCGGCUCCAGGGACCGCCGCGAUGCGCAGCGAGCAUCCCGGGAGAGCCGCGGGCAUGCCCCGGGCAGGGCAGCUGGAAUGGAGGCGCCGUAGGGAGCUGGCUCCUAGAAAGGCUGAGUGCUUGGAGUCAGAAAACUCACUGCUGUCACAUCCUACCUUGCUUUGGAGCUGGGCUCAGGCUUACAGUGAUUCCUGUUGCACACCCUUCCCAUCCCAGGUGGUGAUGGAACAAAUGGAAGUAUUCCCAAACGACUUCCCAUAUGCAGCCUCUUCUGGAAGUCAGCGGAAAGCCACGAGGUGGCAAUGUGCACCAGGAAAUAAAGCUGGCACUUCUCAGGGAUCAGUCACUCAGCCCUGGAAUGCGGCUGGAUGGACACUUGGCCUCCCUCAGGAGCUGCGGUAGGAUUUCCAGCACCCUUUCCAUGUAAAAAAUGAACAUUUGUUUUCCCAGGACUCUUAAAAAAAGCUGUAGGGAUGAACAUCUCCUCCUCCUGCAUUGUUUCGUGCUGGUGGAUAUACUCAGUAAGUUUGUGUGUUUGCUUCAGGCUCGGAUGCUCCCUGUGGAUUGUUUGGUAAACAUCUCGCCUGGUGUUUCCCCUUUCCUCCCUUGGGAUCUGCUUUGGUUUCUAUGCAUCCAGCAUUGCUGGUGCUUGUGAC